rnacentral:misc_RNA from 1 species
AAAAUAAAUAAAUAAAUAAAUGAAUGAAAGGAGGGUCAUAUGGAAAAUGGUAAUGACAUCGAUCUACCAUCUAGUGAAACCUUCUCUUAAAAAGUCCUACUAUAUUGGACAUGGAUUCCCUCUUUAUAAAACCUUUUUCUUCUCUAUAUCAACGGCAAGAUCCAUUUCUUAUUCAGUAUAUAUGUAUAUGGUAUACCAGACCAAAUAAAUUGCAAAUUAAAUUGCCACUUCACCACAGAAGUAGGCAGUUUGAUAUUUAAUUCAAUGUUAAAACAAAAAUAAAUAUGUCUCAUCAGUUGUUUUUCAUCAAUAUAUAUUGACCAAAGUUACUUUUGGAAAAAUACAUUUUCAGUUAUAUUUGGGUAGGAGGACAAAAAGAAUAUGUUGAACACCAGCACUAAGCGUCAAAACAUGGAAUACAGAAGAGAUUUUUCUUCAUUGACAUCCCUCAUAAUAUGUUCAAUGAAUAAUUGAUACACUCGCUUUCAUGAACUUUCAUUCCUGAAUUUUUGGAACAAAUUAUUGUUACCACCAGAAAUUUUAAGCUUCUAAACCUAUUUAUAGGACAUUUACUCAAGAUACCCUAGUUCAGACAAUGUAUCCAUUCAGUAGCAAUCAAAUAUGAAGUUCCAAAAUUCCAGGGGAUGGCAUCAAUGGAAAAUCUAUGAUGGAUUAAGCAGGCAAAUGAAAGUAAUUGCAAAAUUUUUGCUUUAGCUAUAACUUACAGUGCUGGAACAAGCAGUGCAACUCUCAGAAGCAUGGCCUACAAGUGUCAUUUGGGAAAAUUGAUGAAGUGAACCUCGAAUCUGAUGGGGUAGA